GUGCUUUGGCACAAAUGUUAAAAAUGGAAAAAUACAGAGAAGAUUAGCAUGGCCCCUGCGCAAGGAUGACGCACAAAUCGAGGCACGCGGUCACCGAUGCA
rnacentral:snRNA from 1 species